UACGGAGGGGGCUAGCGUUGUCCGGAAUUAUUGGGCGUAAAGGGCUCGUAGGCGGUUUGUCGCGUCGGGAGUGAAAACACUGGGCUUAACUCAGUGCUUGCUUCCGAUACGGGCAGACUAGAGGUAUUCAGGGGAGAACGGAAUUCCUGGUGUAGCGGUGAAAUGCGCAGAUAUCAGGAGGAACACCGGUGGCGAAGGCGGUUCUCUGGGAAUGUCCUGACGCUGAGGAGCGAAAGUGUGGGGAGCGAACAGG
rnacentral:rRNA from 1 species